ACAUUUCCCUGGAGUGGCUGGAAAAGAGAAGUCUCUUCAAAUUCUGCAACUGCUAACAGCGAGGAAGGGUUUUGAAAGGUAAAGGCCAUUAGCUUGGAGGCAGAAGACAGACCUCCCUGACUGCUGAAUUCUUCCCGGCCUGAAAUUGGAGCAUUCCAAGCUCCUCAGAUGAGUCAUAAGCCGCCAAGAUUGUGAGCCUCUGGGUGCUAGCCAGGAUCACUCCCUCCGAAGUCACCCCAGAGGGAGGGCCGGAGGGAGAAUGAAAUGAAAGAGAGAGGGAGAGAAAGGAAGGAAGAGAAGGAGGGAGAAUGGAAGGAUGCAUGGAUUUGGAUGUAUGGGUUCCAUUCCUUCUAUCCUGGCAAAUGCUUACUCAUCCUUCAGUGUCCAUCCAAAAUGGCACCUCUUCUUGGGCACCAUCUCCAGAGUCUCCUUCAAGCAGGUAGCUACAUCCCACAAAACAACCACCCAUCUGAUCAUGCAAGUGUGUGGGGGAAUGAAAACCAGCCCAGGAAUCUGAGAUGAAUGUUUUGCUUCUUGCUCUGCCACUGACUCACAGGGUACCCCAAGCAAGUCCCUUCACCUCCUUGGUCUCAGUUUCUCCAUUUAUACUACUAAGGCAGUGGACCUGAUGGCCUCAAGUCUCGACAUUUUUAUUCCCUGAAGAAACUCUUUGUGCUGAGUGGUCUUCUUCUGCCCUGACAUCUCGCCUUUCAAACGCUUGUCUCUUCUCACCCCACCCACCACUUAGCAUGUGCUCUUGGAGAACACCCAGGACUCAGGGUCUCUGCACACAUCAUGAGUCCAGCUCAGCAUCUGAGGUGGAAUCAGAGGAAAGGAAGGCGAGUGGGGGGAAUAGUCAGUAUUUUGGCAAGCUCAUCAUACCUUCCCCCUUUGUCUAGAAACUUCAAUCCAAUUUCCCUUUGAAGGCACUACCUCCUUCCCCCAGUCAUAAAUGAGUGCAGGUCUCAAGCCUGGACAACCAAAUGCACAGUGAUUGGUUCAACUCUGGACCUGUGACUCAAGCCAGACCAAGGGAGUGACAUGCAGGGCUUUGCCUGGAACUAUUCUGAAAGGGGCACUCUCUUUCUGCUGGGCUACUGAUAGUAUGUGCAUCCAUGAUAGGAGAGCCUGCCUGAUAAUGAAGCCAGUAAGAGAAGAGCAGAGCCAAGAGAUGGUGGGAGAGCAGAUGCCUGAAAAUAUCAUUUGAGCCCCUGGGUCCAGCUGCACCUGAAGCCACCACUAUCUCCUGAACUUCGCAGUUUCUUGAGUUGAUAAAUACCCUUUGGCAUUAAGCCAGAUUGAGUCUUAAUGCAUAUAGAAAUAAGAGAAAUGAAAAAAGAAAUGAGAAAAGAUAUUGAAAAGAGAGACGGCAGAGAACUGAUUCUCUACUAGAGCCUCCAGAAGGAAUCAACUUUGCCAACACCUUGAUUUUGGACUUGUGGCCUUCAGAACUGUGAAAUGAUAAACAUCUGUUAUUUUAAGGUACCUAGUGUGUAACAUUUUGUCAUGACAGCCCUAGGAAAUGAAUACAGCGAGGAAAAUCCCACCAGCACAAAGGCAUGGAGGUGCCAGGAUGCCUCCUCUGCCUGAAGAGUAGAUGUAGAUGAGGCUGGAAUUGUCCAUCCUAGCUGCCCAGACCCACGUGCCUUUGUUUUAUGUAGUUACAGCACCUAUGAUACAUAUUUGCUACCAUGUAUGUCACUAUGAACCUCCUCUGGAGGACAGAGAAGUCACAUGCCUUAAUUAUUCCAACACAAGCUUGCGUGAACAGAUAAUCAUCACUGCGAGUAUAUUGUGUGCCUGCUAAGCACCACGCCUGAGAUAAGCAUUUGCUAUGGUUUGAAUGUCCCCUCCAAAGCUCAUGCUAAAAUUUAAUUGCCAUUGCAACAGUGUUGCAAGGUGAGAAGUUUAAGAGAUGAUCAGGUCAUGAGAACUCUGCCCUCAUGAAUGGAUUAAUACCAUUAUUGCAGUAGUGGACCCCCCUUUUCUCUUGCUGUCUCUCAUGUUAGCUUGUGCUUCCACCUUUCACCAUGGGAUAACACAGCAAGAAGCCUCUCACCAGAUGCUGGCACCUUGCUGUUGGACUUCCCGGCCUCCAGAACUGUGAGAAAUACGUGUCUUUUCCUUAUAAAUUACCCAGUCUGUGGUAUUCUGUUAUAGUGGCAGAAAAUGGACUAAGACAGCAUUUUGAAUACAUUAUCUGUCUUAUUAAAAAUAAUGUUUUUACCCAGGAACAUAGAUUCAAGUUGCCCUGAAUAUAGAUUAUCUCCCUACAUUAUCUCUUUUAAUCCUCACCUAUUAGGUAGAUACCGCUGUUAUCCCCAGUUUGCAGGUAAAACCUCAAGCUCCCAAAGAACUGCAGCAUGGAGGAAAGUAAAGCCAAUAGCUACCAUGUUGAGUAGUCCCCUUUACCCAUGGUACAGUACAGCACGCUAAGAUAUUCUGAGAAAGAGAGAGGCCGCAUUCACGUCUUUUAUUGCAGUAUAUUGUUACAGUUGUUCUAUUUUAUUCGUUAUUGUUGUUAGUCUCUUUUUAUGCCUAAUUUAUAAAUCGAGCUUUACUACAGACAUGUGUGUAUAGGAAAAAACAAUACGGAUGUUCCUCAA